AUACGUAGGGGGCGAGCGUUGUCCGGAAUGAUUGGGCGUAAAGGGCGCGUAGGCGGCCUGUUAAGUCUGGAGUGAAAGUCCUGUUUUCAAGAUGGGAAUUGCUUUGGAUACUGAUGGGCUUGAGUGCAGGAGAGGUUAUCGGAAUUCCCGGUGUAGCGGUGAAAUGCGUAGAGAUCGGGAGGAACACCAGUGGCGAAGGCGGGUAACUGGACUGCAACUGACGCUGAGGCGCGAAAGUGUGGGGAGCAAACAGUAUUAGAUACCCUGGUAGUCCACACUGUAAACGAUGAAUGCUAGGGGUAGGGGGUAUCGACCCCUUCUGUGCCGCAGUCAACACAAUAAGCAUUCCGCCUGGGGAGUACGGCCGCAAGGUUGAAACUCAAAUGAAUUGACGGGG
rnacentral:rRNA from 1 species